GAUGAACGCUAGCGGUAGGCCUAACACAUGCAAGCCGAGCGGUAUUUGUUCUUCGGAUCCGAGAGAGCGGCGCACGGGUGCGGAACACUUGUGCAACCUGCCUUUAUCUGUUUUAUAGCCUUUCUAAAGUAAGAUUAAUACCCCAUAAUAUAUUUAGUGGCAUCAUUUGAUAUUGAAAACUCCGCUGGAUAUAGAUGGUCACGCGCAAGAUUAUAUAGUUGGUGAGGUAACGGCUCACCAAGUCAAUGAUCUUUAGGGGGCAUGAGAGUGUGAUCCACUAGAAUGGAACUGAGACACGGACCAGAAUAGUACGGGAGGCAGCAGAGAGGAAUAUUGGACAAGGGGGUAGGGCCUGAUCCAGCCAUCCCGCGUGAAGGACGACGGCCCUAUGAGUUGUAAACUUCUGUUGUAUAGGGAUAAAACUACUAUAGUGAGAGUAGCUGAAGGUACUAUAAGAAUAAGCACCGGCUAACUCCGUG
rnacentral:rRNA from 1 species